UUGAAGAUAUUUAUCAAGUGUUGUGCUCUGCACUCAUUGAUGAGGAAACAUUGAGAAAAGCCAAAGGUGAUCUUUUACGAAUGACUCCAUUGCCAAUGAAUUCCAUGUUGGACAAGCAAUCAAAAAGUGAAGCUAUCUCAAAAAAAGCAAGAAAAAAAAGCAUGCCAGCUGUACAUUUCCCCCCAACUAAGCCAGCUGAAGUAUCACCUGUCCAAGAAAUAAUCACUAAUCAGAGAAAUGAGAGAGCAGAACCUCGAUGCACUGUGUGCAAGAAUUGGAUGAAAGGCCAUAAAAAUAUAAUGAACUGUCCAAAAAACCAAAAGUAACCAGUUUUUUAGGACCUGGUGGUAUGAGCCCAGUUAGUUGGGAUUCAGUGAAGUGUGAAUUGACUGCAUG